rnacentral:rRNA from 1 species
AUGAACGCUGGCGGCGUGCCUAAUACAUGCAAGUCGCGCGAACGGACGAGAAGCUUGCUUCUCUGAUGUUAGCGGCAGACGGGUGAGUAACACGUGGAUAACCUACCUAUAAGACUGGGAUAACUUCGGGAAACCGGAGCUAAUACCGGAUAAUAUUUUGAACCGCAUGGUUCAAAAGUGAAAGACGGUCUUGCUGUCACUUAUAGAUGGAUCCGCGCUGCAUUAGCUAGUUGGUAAGGUAACGGCUUACCAAGGCAACGAUGCAUAGCCGACCUGAGAGGGUGAUCGGCCACACUGGAACUGAGACACGGUCCAGACUCCUACGGGAGGCAGCAGUAGGGAAUCUUCCGCAAUGGGCGAAAGCCUGACGGAGCAACGCCGCGUGAGUGAUGAAGGUCUUCGGAUCGUAAAACUCUGUUAUUAGGGAAGAACAUAUGUGUAAGUAACUGUGCACAUCUUGACGGUACCUAAUCAGAAAGCCACGGCUAACUACGUG